UAGCGUAGGGUGCAAGCGUUGUCCGGAAUUACUGGGCGUAAAGCGCACGUAGGCGGAUCGUUAAGUCGGGGGUGAAAUCCUGGAGCUCAACUCCAGAACUGGCCUUCGAUACUGGCGAUCUUGAGUCCGGAAGAGGUGAGUGGAACUCCUAGUGUAGAGGUGGAAUUCGUAGAUAUUAGGAAGAACACCAGUGGCGAAGGCGGCUCACUGGUCCGGUACUGACGCUGGAGGUGACGAAAGCGUGGGGAGCAAACAGG
rnacentral:rRNA from 1 species